rnacentral:rRNA from 1 species
GACGUAGGGGGCCAGCGUUGUUCGGAAUUACUGGGUGUAAAGGGUUCGUAGGCGGUGCGGCAAGUUGGGAGUGAAAUCUCUGGGCUUAACCCAGAGGCUGCUUCCAAAACUGCUGUGCUUGAGUGUGGGAGAGGCGCGUGGAAUUGCAGGUGUAGCGGUGAAAUGCGUAGAUAUCUGGAGGAACACCGGUGGCGAAGGCGGCGUUCUGGACUGCAACUGACACUGAUGAACGAAAGCCAGGGGAGCAAACGGG